AAAACUGAUACGUUCUUUUUUGGGGGGUUUUCUAUUAAAGAUGACAGAGUGUUUUAAGUUUUAAAUGACAGGAAAAGUUCGUCUCUUCAGACGGCAGUGUCAUGUUUCUUCAUGCAAUCAAAGGUGGUUCAUAUUUAGAUCUCGCUCAAUGGCUGCUCGCGUGGUUAGCAAAAUAACAGUCACAACUUUAUCAUUGCAAUUGAGCAUUGAGUGAGAAUGACAGUAUGGUAGAAGACAUCGCGUACUAAAGGUAACCAAUUAAGGAACUUGAUUCACUUGAGCUAUUUUGCUAUUGAUCUACUUUCUCCCCCUCGCAGAACAUUUACUUUAAGCGACUGGAAUCAAACGCUAUGGCUCAUAACACUUAUGACUCCUGCCGAAUUCAUUGGCUGAAAGGAAAAAAUGAUCAGUUAGGUGGAGAGAGAGAGAGAAAAAAUAACAACUUGUUUGCUCUCAUCUUUUUACUUAAAUGUUUCCCUUGGUUGAGGAUUUAAUGCUGGUGUAAUGGUCUUGAUACAAUUCGGGAAUAACCUAACGGACAUUUCCAAUUAUUCCACGAACCUUGCAGUUCAGAGCGAAGAUCAAAGAGGAUACAAUGGCUCUUGGUUGAAUGACAGUGAAUCGUUUGAUUCCAAAUCGUUCGUUAUUGCUUAUCUUGGAAAACAGCAAGGAGAUACCGGUCUUGUGGUGGCACUGACUAUUGUUUACAUGGUGGUGUACUUGAGUGGUGUGUUGGGUAAUUCAUUAACGUUUCUGGUUAUUUACAAAAAUGCCUAUAUGAGAACGGUGACCAACUGCUACCUGAUGAGCCUCGCGCUGUCUGAUCUGCUAACAAUAUCAGUCGCGUUACCACCGGAAGUUUACACCAUCUGGGAAGCGUAUCCAUGGAGAUUCGGCGAGCCAUUUUGCAUAUUCAAGGCCUUCCUCUUAGAAUGGACCUCAUACGCAUCUGUGCUGACCAUAACAGGUUUUACUGUGGAACGCUACAUCGCAAUAUGUCACCCAAUAACGGGACAAAAAGUGACGCGACAAUCCAGAGCUUUCAAAUGCAUCAUUUGCAUAUGGAUAAUAUCAGCAUGCUGUGCUCUGCCCUAUCCGUUUCACACGCGCACAUUUUAUUAUCUGAAUGAUCCAAGGACUAAUCUGCCAAUUACAGACACAUUAUUGUGCAACAUUCCUGUAGAAUGGCAUAAGCGCAUGAUCGUCAUGUUUCAGGUGUCAACGUUCGCUUUCUUUUUUCUUCCAAUGACUGUUAUAACAAUUAUGUAUAUUUUGAUCGGAAUUCGACUGCGCAGGACGGAAGUGGAUACAUCCAUGGGAAUCCAAUACAAAGGGGCGCUAUCCACGACCGCUAGAGCUAGGAAAGCUGUUCUAAAGAUGCUAGUGGCCGUAGUGGUAGCCUUCUUUCUGUGCUGGGCGCCAUUUCACGCACAAAGACUAAUGACUCUAUACGUCAAGGACUGGAGCCCGGAGUCCAUGGAAUUCCACAGCCAUUUGUUUUACAUAUCAGGUGUUUUAUAUUUUGAGCGAUCAAAAUACCGGAUCCCCAAGCCCGAGGUUUAUUUAUCCCCAAAAGCCAGUUGGAAUGGAUACGUUCUUUAAUAAACACGGUGGCAGUCUUUCUGCAAACAGUAGACCUGUUAAACAAGCAUCGACCAAAGACACUGUUGUCAAGUGCUCGUCGUCAAGUAGUAGUUCGCAUGCGCACUCGGACGGAAGACUCCAUUUUAUAUGUCGUCACAAAAGUUGUAGCAGUAACAGGAUUCGAUUGAGCUUAGAAAUCAACUCGGUGUAUAAACAGUUUAAUAAUGCAUCGUGUCAGGAUAUCGAAACACUAAGAAAAAUGAAGUGUUUCAAACAAUUAUCUAAGUUUGAUUCCAAGGAAGGGGACACGGAAAAAGAGUAUGACGUCACAGCGAGUCUGAUAUGAUUAUUGGGGAAAAUAUUGGCAUAAUCAUAUCAUAAUUAUUGUAUAUUUUUAAUAUAAAUACAAAAAAAGAAUAUUUGUUAUAUGAAUUUUUGUUUGAUUUCUUACAACAAAUUAAAAUCGUUCUAUUUGGAUGAACAGCAAAACCCAAUUUCAAGAACAUAAAGCAUAUUUGUCAU
rnacentral:misc_RNA from 1 species